UUGUUGAAUGGAAGUCACAGAUGCCACCAAUUAAAAAAAUGAUUUGAAAGUCAGAUGAUUUUAAUGCAACAAAUAUAUAGUAUACAACUUUUUUAAAAACAGAAAAUUUGUUUAUGUCUUUAGAACCUUACACUGUUCAGGUGUUGCAAAAAUAUUUUUAUUCUUAUUCAGUUUUCUAUAAAAUGGGAUGGGCAAGCUGACUAAUUUAUAUAUUUCACAUAUUUUUAGUAGAUAUGAACAGCUUAUAUAAACACAUGUAAACUAACCAAAGAACAUCUUAGUACAAAUAAUAGAAUUGAGAAUGGAAAAUUAAACAGGGAAUGUGUCAAAGAGACAACAAUUUGACCAAAGAAAAGAAAACAGCCCAAGGCCACCAAUGGGUCUUCAACACAGCGAGAAAAUCCAGCACCGGGUGACUGGCUUCAGUUGGCAGGGUUCAGCUGGCCCCUGAACAAUAAUGUAUCCUAGUUCAGGGAAAUGGAUGCCACACUAAACUCAGAAACAUAUAAAUGAACUAAAAUUAAAAAACACACAAUCAAACAUUAAGGCUAGUUAGGGAUGUAGAGAUUCCACUUGGUGAUUCAAAGGCUAUUUAGGGAUAUAGAGAUUCCACUGGGUGAUUCUAGUUAGGGAUAUAGAUAUUCCACUGGGUGAUUCUAGUUAGGUAUGUAGAUAUUCCACUGGGUGGUUCUAGUUAGGGAUGUAGAGAUUCCACUGGGUGAUUCUAGUUAGGGAUGUAGAGAUUCCACUGGGUGAUUCUAGUUAGGUAUGUAGAGAUUCCACUGGGUGAUUCUAGUUAGGUAUGUAGAGAUUCCACUGGGUGAUUCUAGUUAGGGAUGUAGAGAUUCCACUGGGUGAUUCUAGUUAGGGAUGUAGAGAUUCCACUGGGUGAUUCUAGUUAGGUAUGUAGAUAUUCCACUGGGUGAUUCUAGUUAGGUAUGUAGAUAUUCCACUGGGUGAUUCUAGUUAGGUAUGUAGAUAUUCCACUGGGUGGUUCUAGUUAGGGAUGUAGAGAUUCCACUGGGUGAUUCUAGUUAGGGAUGUAGAGAUUCCACUGGGUGAUUCUAGUUAGGAAUGUAAGGAUUCCACUGGGUGAUUCUAAGGCUAAUUAAAUAGGGAUGUAGAGAUUCCACUGGGUGAUUCUAAGAUGGGUUAUCUUAUCCUGCACAUAAAAUUGGAAUAAUGUUAAAAAAAAAAAAAAGGAUAAAGACUUAAGUGCUGAUUUGGGAUGAUUUUUUUUUAAAAUCUGCCCUGCUGUGGCUUUACAGAAUAAAAAUGAGAAGAGGUAUGAUUGCCAAUGAGACAACUUUCAACCAGAGACCAAAUGACGUAGAAGUUAGCUACUAUAGGUCUCUGUAAGACCAAAUGACGUAGAAUUUAGCUACUACACUUUUCGAGAACUCUGGCAUGAUACAUUUAAAAAUAUGAAAGAAUUUCAUUUAUUUAUAAUAUGACCUGCCUACUGUUCCAGUCAACAGGGAACAAGUUUAGUAUCUAAAGGAAAUAUUUAUAUCAUAAGAUAAUGACAUGUAGUGUUUUUAGUUUAAAUAGUGUAAAUUAUGUCAAACGGUUGUCUAUUUAAUUUUGCAGAUCCAGACUUUGUCAAAAUUUGCAUUUAUUGUCGAACAUAAAAUUUUGUAUUAUUGAAAACAUGUAUACCGAUUAAAAAAUAUGUUUUCAAAAUCAAUUAUUAGUUCUGUGCAAAGUGAUCAGUGGUGAUAGUCAAACUUUUAAUCCAAAAUCUUUGUCCUUAACAUGUUAACAGAAGUGUGGAAAUAAUUGAUUUUUUAAACAAAUUUAAGAUGUUCUGUGAUU